rnacentral:rRNA from 1 species
GAUGAACGCUAGCGACAGGCCUAACACAUGCAAGUCGAGGGGCAGCACAAGGGUAGCAAUACCCUGGUGGCGACCGGCGCACGGGUGAGUAACGCGUAUGCAACCUGCCUACCACAGGGGGAUAGCCUCCCGAAAGGGAGAUUAAUACCGCAUAAAACAGGGGCCCCGCAUGGGGAUAUUUGUUAAAGCAAUCGCGGUGGUAGAUGGGCAUGCGUUCCAUUAGCUUGUUGGCGGGGUAACGGCCCACCAAGGCGUCGAUGGAUAGGGGAACUGAGAGGUUUAUCCCCCACACUGGGACUGAGACACGGCCCAGACUCCUACGGGAGGCAGCAGUGAGGAAUAUUGGUCAAUGGGCGCAAGCCUGAACCAGCCAAGUCGCGUGGAGGACGACGAUUCUAUGGAUUGUAAACUCCUUUUGCAGGGGAGUAAACUGCGCCACGUGUGGCGCAUGCAAGUACCCUGCGAUA